rnacentral:piRNA from 1 species
UGAGGGAAGAUCCUCGCUGCCUCUCCAGCUC